GACGAACGCUGGCGGCGUGCUUAACACAUGCAAGUCGAACGCUGAAGCCCUUCGGGGUGGAUGAGUGGCGAACGGGUGAGUAACACGUGGGUAAUCUGCCCUGCACUCUGGGAUAAGCCUUGGAAACGGGGUCUAAUACCGGAUAGGACACAUCGCCGCAUGGUGUGUGUGUGGAAAGUUCCGGCGGUGCAGGUUGAGCCCGCGGCCUAUCAGCUUGUUGGUGGGGUGAUGGCCUACCAAGGCGACGACGGGUAGCCGGCCUGAGAGGGUGACCGGCCACAGUGGGACUGGGACCCGGCCCAGGCUCCUACGGGGGGCAGAGGUGGGAAAGCUGGGGGAAGGGGCAAAAGCCGUACGCAGCACCGCCGCGUGGGGGAUGACGGCUUUCGGGUUGUAACCCUCUUCCGACCGGGACGAAGAAUUCUUUUGCCGGUACCGGAAGAAGAAGCACCGGCUAACUACGUGCCAGCCGCCGCCGUAA
rnacentral:rRNA from 1 species